rnacentral:tRNA from 1 species
GUGGAUGUAGUACAUUGGUAGUACGCGCGACUGUGGCUCGUGAGAAGAGAGUUCGAUUCUCUCCUUCCACC